rnacentral:lncRNA from 1 species
UUUGCAUAAUCUAAAAAAUUCAUUCAAAUACAGAUAUUUUACUUGAUCGAUAAUUUUGGGCUACAAUCAGAAGCCCAAAAAUUGAGCCCAUUUAACAAUUAUUUUCUAUAUAGAUUUUGGUUAGGUUAAAAAAUAGGGGUGGUGAAUUUAUUUUUUAGAAUAGGGUUGUAAAAUUUACAGAUUUGAAUUCAAAAUGGGCUCUACUAUUCAUUAACUUUUCGGUCAUCACCAUCCCGGAUUCCGGCUAAGCUCCGGCAACUCUAAAACCCUCUUCUUUUUCCCCUUUUUCCGGUGAAAUGGUCACCGGAAACAACCCCAUUUCCCCUUUCCUCGUUUCCAGCAACUACCACCCAAAAACCCCACUCCAAAACAACCAUUUUUCCUUACCAGACCCACACAGCAGCAAACAACACACCAACAGACCCAAAACCAGCCAAACGAUCCCCACACUACCUAUUUUAUUCCUUUUCCAGAUCCACUGGCGAGCUCGAAGCUCGCCACCUCCAAACCACCCCGUUUCCCUCUCCCACCAGACCAAAACCCCCUUUAAGUCAAUCGCCACAGCCUCAUAAACCAGCAACCAAAGCUCCGAGCGGCCAUCCAAAACCCCGACCCAGACCAUCCCUUUUCAAUAAACUACAACAACCCAGUCGCUGCCAGUUCCCUUCCACGUCCCCUUUUACAUUUUCUUCUUUUUACAGGUAUUUUGGCUCAAAGUCGGUGAGCUCCGAUGAAAAAAUGAGUUCCCACCACUGCGAGCUUCAAGCUCCGCGAACAACCAGACACAACCAGCAAAACGCCAACCUCCGUAGCUCCGGCAAACAAGUAAUCCUCUAUGUUUUAUUUUUGUUGUAACUAUUUUACUUCGUUCAUUGCUUUUCCAGAUCUGGCCGGAGUUUGAUAAAGUUUGUCUUUUUCGAUUUGUUGUGUUGAUAUUAUACUGUGUUAUUUUGAUUUGAUUGUUUAUUCACAGCUUUUGUAUUGAUUUGCUGUUUGUUUACUCUUACAGUGGCUAUGCUUUGAAUUUUUUUUUAUUUAAAUUAAAUGUUUAAUGGUUAAAGAAUAUUUUCAAUUGUGAUUUCAUUCUCAACUUAUGGAUCUUUUAUUAGGAUAGUUACUUUCUCAUUAUUUUAUAUUGUUAAUUCGUUUUGACUUUAUUCAUUUGUUGACAUCGAGUUAUUUGUUUUAGUGUUAAUUUUGUUUUUAUUAUGAUUAUUUUAUUGAUUGUUCUUUUGUUCCGUAUGCUUAUCUUAUUUUUAAUUGUUGUCUAAUCUAUUAAUUUAAUAGUUUAAAUUAUAUUUGCUAUAUUUUGUUGGAUUUAAUAUUGUUAUUAAUAAUGGUGUUGCCUUCGGUAAAUUUUAUACUUUUCAUGUUACUGUUACUUUUUGUUAAUGUUAAGAUAAUAUUUUGUCAUUUUUUGUUAUUGUUAAUUGAUAUUGAAUAUAUUUUGUUUGUUCAAAAUGGCUAAUGAGAAAAUCUCUCUGUCGAGUUUGGAGGCCUUUACAUUGUAAAAGACGAAAAUUUAAUUUAAUUUCAUAUAUUUUGUUUGUUCAAAAUGGCCAAUGAGAAAAUCUCUCUGUCGAUUUUGGAGGCCUUUACAUUGUAAAAAACGAAAAUUUAGUUUAAUUUCAUAUAUUUUGUUUGUUCAAAAUGGCCAAUGAGAAAAUCUCUCUGUCGAUUUUGGAGGCCUUUACAUUGUAAAAAACGAAAAUUUAGUUUAAUUUCAUAUAUUUUGUUUGUUCAAAAUGGCCAAUGAGAAAAUCUCUCUGUCGAUUUUGGAGGCCUUUACAUUGUAAAAAACGAAAAUUUAGUUUAAUUUCAUAUAUUUUGUUUGUUCAAAAUGGCUGAUAAAGAAAUUACCGUCGAUUUCUAAGGUUUCCCAUGUUAAUAAGACGGUUUUUUAUUUUUAAAUUAAUUUUUGAUUCAUUUAUUUUUAUUCAUAACUAACACUUUUACUAAGUGUCUUUACAGGUACCCGGAGGUGCUUCCUAUUGAAGUUAUUCGAAUUAGGUUCGAAUUAUAUUCCUAUUUAUAUUGUAUAUUAUUGACGAUAGACAAAUUUAGGUCGAUUCCUAUAUUAUUGUUUUAUCAUAUUACUUGUGUAUAUUGCAUGUUUAUUAUAUUUGUACAUUAUUUUAUUUUCAUCCUCAAUUUGAAAAAAAUGAAUUCAGUCGAAACCCACAUUUGUGGAUUUCAAAGGAUGCCUAAUCCCUUCCCUUCGAAAUUACUUGAAUCCCUUAUCUAGAAUAUCUUGGUUUCGUAGAUUGAUUAAUUGGUUUCCUAAUUUUCCUAAAAUUAGACAGCAAUUCCUUUAAAAUUCUUAUUUUCUUAAAAUUCUUUUAAAAUUGAAUCAAUUGUUUAUUUUUUAGUCACCAUGACGUUUCGCCUUAUUUGAAUAGAGUAGGGAUGUAAACAGCCAAAUUCGAACUUUUGAAACAUUACAGUAGCGUUACCAGGGGUCGGAGCAACUUAUCUAAAAUACACGAUUAUUUGUCUUUCUACAUCACACUUUGUCCAAUGUCCAUUGUUCACUAUGCCACAAAAAAUAGGAAAAUCAUAAGGUAGAAAAUCAACACAGAGUAUAUCUUAAUCAUUAGCCACCGAUUUGACGAGAUGCUAUUGAGGUAUUUGAGCAGAGCCCCUUGUGCCCCUUCCACAUUUGUUAGUGCGUCAUCCACGUUCUCAUCAAUCCUGUGACAGAAACCAAGAUAUUACUUUACUGCUAAAAGAAUUUGCUACCCAUCCCCACCCUCACCCCAUUGUAUCUUGAUCAGAAGUCGUAACUAAGGACUAUAUUGUGACUUGUGAGUAUCAGUUUAAUAUCAACAAUCAGGUAGUACAAGGUUUUACACCUUACAGACAACAGGAGAAGCACCAAACUUUAAGUGGAAGGCACCAUUUUACAAGAUUCUAAAUACAGAUAGCUCAAAGUACAAAAAACUUCCAUCAACUGUCAGAUUUUUCUCUAACCAAUAUGGGGAUAAAGCAGUAAACCUUACUUGUUGAUUGCACAAACAUCAUAUAUGAAGAACAUUUAUAACAUCUCACGCAAAUUUGACUUCAAAUAUUAUCAAUUAUGUACAAAAGAUUUACUUGUAAAUGAAAAGAAGUGUGCCAAGGCCAAGAAUUAAACUACAUGUCACAAUAGAAAGAGGCGUUAAAUAAAAUGUGAUGGUGGGGUUCAUUGAGAGUACACACAUCACAUUUUAUGUUAACCACAAGUAGAUAUGCAUAUCAUGUUAAUGACCCUUGAGGAACUUCAAAAGCUCAAUUUAACAAAGAACUUACCAAUUAUUAUUUUUAAGAACUGAGAAGAAUUAGCCCGUUUCUUCCAACAUAAAUAUGAAUGAAAUAAUAUAAAAGACACUAGGUCUUCUAAUCCCUCUAACUAGCAGAUGGUGGAUGCAUGAUCCGAUCCCAUAUUGGAACGUUAAUGUUUCUCAGUCCAAAAGUUCAUGCAAAGGUUAAAAAAUUAACUUUUACCAUGCAAAAUAGGAUAUCAACAAGAGAAGACAUCAAAGUAUUGAUCAGAGUGAUCAUCCAAAACUAGUGAUUAGUUGAUAGAAAUUAACAAACAAAAUAUUCAUUACUUGCCAUCUCACAUAUUUAACUUUACGUCUUUACAACUAGGAGACUACAUUGGUGCCAACUGGUUGUACAAAGAUAACUAUGAAAAUACGAUGCAUUGAAAUCUCCUAAAUCCUUCUAUUAUCAUCACCAUUAUUAUUAUAAUUAUUAUAAUAAGAAUUAUUAUUAUUAUUAUUAUUAUCUUCAUCAUCAUCAUCGUCUCCUACAUCUGUUUAUUUUCUGAGUGCAAAAACAAUUGUUAUACAAACCUGACUGCAACCUCCCCUUGCUCAGAAACCAAGGUAGCAAGCUGAUUAAAAAUGCUGCCCAGCUCAUGGAUAGUAGACUCGGCAUUUUGAAAAGCUUCAGCUCUACUCUGCAUGUAGCUGUCUUGCAAUGGAACUAUCUGCUGCUGCUGCUG